UGAUAUUUAGACAACAUUUUUUUGACAACAUUUGAAUAUUGAUUACGUGUCAAUCUGUGAUUGGUCAAAAAUUACUCCACAAUAAUGUUUAUGAUUAUUAUUAUUGAUUGUGGAGUAAUUUUUGACACAGAUUGAUACGUAAUCAAUGUCUAAAUGUUGUCAAAAAAAUGUUGUCUAAAUAUCA
rnacentral:pre_miRNA from 1 species